rnacentral:rRNA from 1 species
GGACCCGCACAAGUAGUGGAGCAUGUGGUUUAAUUCGAAGAUACGCGCAGAACCUUACCAACACUUGACAUGUUCGUCGCGACUCUAAGAGAUUAGAGUUUUCGGUUCGGCCGGACGAAACACAGGUGCUGCAUGGCUGUCGUCAGCUCGUGUCGUGAGAUGUUGGGUUAAGUCCCGCAACGAGCGCAACCCUCACUUUUAGUUGCCAUCAUUUAGUUGGGCACUCUGAAAGAACUGCCAGUGAUAAGCUGGAGGAAGGUGGGGAUGACGUCAAGUCCUCAUGGCCCUUACGUGUUGGGCUACACACGUGCUACAAUGGCAUUUACAAUAGGAAGCAAGAUGGCGACAUCAAGCAAAUCCUAAAAAGAUGCCUCAGUUCGGAUUGUACUCUGCAACUCGAGUUCUUGAAGUUGGAAUCGCUAGUAAUCG